rnacentral:rRNA from 1 species
GUGAGGAAUAUUGGUCAAUGGGCGGGAGCCUGAACCAGCCAAGUCGCGUGAAGGAAGAAGGAUCUAUGGUUCGUAAACUUCUUUUGCAGGGAAAUAAAGUGUAGGACGUGUCCUGUUUUGUAUGUACCCUGAGAAUAAGGAUCGGCUAACUCCGUGCCAGCAGCCGCGGUAAUACGGAGGAUCCGAGCGUUAUCCGGAUUUAUUGGGUUUAAAGGGUGCGUAGGUGGUUUGAUAAGUCAGCGGUGAAAGUUUGCAGCUUAACUGUAAAAAUGCCGUUGAAACUGUCGGACUUGAGUGUAAAUGAGGUAGGCGGAAUGCGUGGUGUAGCGGUGAAAUGCAUAGAUAUCACGCAGAACUCCGAUUGCGAAGGCAGCUUACUAAGCUACAACUGACACUGAAGCACGAAAGCGUGGGGAUCAAACAGGAUUAGAUACCCUUGUAGUCC